rnacentral:tRNA from 1 species
GGUUCCGUAGCUCAAUGGAUAGAGCGCCGCGUUGCGGACGCGAAGGUUCGAGGUUCGAGUCCUCGCGGGACCACCA